rnacentral:lncRNA from 1 species
UCUACACAAACAUAUAUCACCGUGGCUAUGUUUUCCUAUAUUCCUGAUAGCUCCACUCCACCCAAGCAAACUUGUCGUUUGCAUUGUCUUGCAUGUCCAAUACCUCUCUAUUGGCCCUCUGCGAAAGGAACUUGCACGUGUAAAAGUACAGAUCCGUUUGCUUCUGGAGUCGACCCGUAGCCAGCAACUCGCUCAUGCAUGUCUUCG